CAGCAAUGCCUCGUGCAGGAUGAAGGCCUUCUGUUUGGAAACUGCUUUUGUACGGAGGGAAAAGGCCUCUUUUAAUACGAGGGGCUCAUGACGGUACCGUAAGAAUAAGCACCGGCUAACUACGUGCCAGCAGCCGCGGUAAUACGUAGGGUGCGAGCGGAUUACUGGGCGUAAAGCGUGCGCAGGCAGUUUUGUAAGAAGACCAGAUGUGAAAUCCCCGGGCUCAACCCUGGGAACUGCGCUUGGUGACUGCAAGGGGUAGAGGUACGGUAGAGAGGGGGGAUGGGAAUUCCGGCUUGUAGCAGUGAAAUGCGUUAGAUAUGCGCGGGAGGAAACACCGAUUGGUGGCGAAAGGCAAAUCCCCUGGACCCUGUACUGGACGCUCCAUGCCCGCGAAAGGCGUGGGGAGGCAAACAGGAAUUAGAUACCCUGGUAGUUCCACGCCCUAAACGGAUGUCAACUGGUUGUUUGGGUCUUUUACUGACUCCGUAAACGAAGCUAACCGCGUGGGAAGUUGACCGCCUGGGGAGUACGGCCGCCAAGGGUUGAAACUCAAAGGAAUUGACGGGGACCCGCCCAAGCGGUGGGAUGAUGUGGUUUAAUUCGGAUGCAACGCCGAAAAACCUUACCCACCUUUGACAUGUACGGAACCCUUUAGAGAUAGAGGGGUGCUCGAAAGAGAGCCGUAACACAGGUGCUGCAUGGCUGUCGUCAGCUCGUGUCGUGAGAUGUUGGGUUUAAGUCCCCGCAACGAGCGCAACCCUUGUCAUUAGUUGCUACAUUUUUUAGUUUGGGCACCCUAAUGAGACCUGCCGGUGACAAGCCGGAGGAAGGUGGGGGAUGACGUCAAGUCCUCAUGGCCCUUAUAGGGUGGGGCUACACCACGUCAUACAAUGGCUGGUACAAAGGGUUGCCAACCCGCGAGGGGGAGGCUAAUCCUCAGAAAGCCGAUCGUAGUCCGGAU
rnacentral:rRNA from 1 species